AUGGCUCGGUCAAGAUGGAGUCUUGCGAGCAGCGAGCUUUCGGUCAUCCCUGUGCGGCGUGGAGAGCGGCGGUGCUUUCCUGGUGAUGCCGGCCUGGGAUUUCUCCGUGGAGAGGCAGGUCUGAUUGUCGCAAGGUCGUUCCUUGGAGUGGGCGACGGCCGUUGCGGGCAGUCCUGGACCUGGCCGGAGGUGCUGGUUGGCUGCGGACCCUCGUGCAGGCUGGGAGUGGAUGUGUGGCCGCGGUUUCCCUGCCGGGUGGUCGGUCGUUGGUCCUCGGCUAUGCAGCUACUUCGGCAAGUGCUGCGGUGGCGGCGCUGUGAGGCUUCUUGGCAGUGCUACCAAUCCCAUGGAGGCGUGGCGAUGGGCGAAGCGCGGAUGAAAAUUUUGCACGGCUUCUGCCGGGCCGGCGGUGAUGGCAUCAGUGGAUGUCAUUCCCCUCCUUGGAGGCAUCGUCGAGCGUGUUCGCCUCAUCCCUCGCGCUCUCGGUGUUGGUGGAUGUCUCCGGGUGAAAGCCUAGAUUCGAUGUUCUGA
rnacentral:rRNA from 1 species